AGGAUACACACAAGAAACAAGCGGCAGCGGACCACGCGCCUAAGAAGAGAAGAACGCAGGGAUCUGACGAGCCUCACGACGUGAAGUCGUAGGUUGCCGAUCACUGGAGGUCGAAGACGUCGGCGACGCGUCGUGACUGGCAGGGAUCCCACGCCACGCCAUGAUGCGCAUCAAGCUGGAAAGGUAGCCGAAGGAGCUUGCUGCGACACCAACAGUGAACCGAUCGUCAUAAACUUGGCGUCGGGCCAAGACGAGGCUGCCGGCCCGUAGCAUGGCGCUAUCAACACCACACCCGCGAGGCGCGACGACGACAUCCGCGACGAGGCUGCCGGCGCGGCGCGGCGCCAUCAUCUCCAUGGCACCGGCGAGGCGCGACGACGACGUCCGCGACGAGGCUGCCGGCUGCUGCGCGGCGCCAUCAACACCGCACACACGAGGCGCGGCGACGACGUCCGUGACGAGGCUGCCGGCGAGCAGCACGGCGCCAUCAACACCACUCCAGCGAGUCACGACGACGACGACCUUGACGGGGCUGUCGGCGUGCAGCGCGGCGCCAUCUCCACCACUGGCGAGACCCGGCGACGACGUAUAUGCCAAGGCUGCCGGCGUGUAGUGCGGCGCCAUCAACACGGCACCCGCGAGGCGUGGCGACGACGUCCGUGCCGGGGCUGCCGGCGUGCAGCGCGGCGCCAUCUUCAACUCUACACCAUGCCACCGACGACGACGUCCGUGCCGGGGCUGCCGGCGUGCAUCGCGGCGCCAUCUUCAACUCUACACCAUGCCACCGAUGACGACGUCCGUGCCGAGGCUGCCGGCGUGCAGCGCGGCGCCAUCAGCACCACACUUAUGGGGCGCGACGACAACGCCCGGGGUUGCCGGCGUACAGCGCGACGCCAUCUUCAACUCCACACCAUGCCACCGACGACGACGUCGAGGCUGCCGGCGUACAGCCCGGCGCCAUCACACCGAUGAUGCUGACAAGACCAAUGGAGGCCGUCUUCAUCCGGGACAAACAAGAUCAGCUCUGUCGACGCGAAUGGUCUCACCGGAGCUGUCUACAGGUAGCCCAUGGCAUGCACCGGUGAUGCCAGCCGUUGCAGAAAUGCACGCUGUGCCGCCGAGAUGCAACACCAGCAAGACCACUGGCAGCGGACGACGCGCCAAGUUGGUACACGGCGGCGGCGAACUAUUACACGCGCCCAAACGGCGUCAGCUGCGCCACUCAUAUCCGGAGGCCGGAGGCGGCGGAUGAUGCGUCGAGUACACGCCCUGGAGCCAUAACGCGGAGAUCUGGUGCAGGAGAACGGACGCCUAACUUGAAGACGGAGGUUGCCGAUCGGCAGAUGUCAAGGAUGACGUCGGCGACAUGGCGUGUCCGGCAGCGACCCGACGCCACGCUGUGAUGCACAUCAAGCGAAGCUCUCCGCGACGCUGACAAGGCAAGCUAGCCAUCGCGCCAACGACGCCGACCGUGACCAUGAAGGUCCUGCUCCUCGACGCCACCACAGGCCGAUGCGAACAAGAUUGCCUCCAUCGACGAGGACGCCGCCGCUGGAGCUUCAAUCUGCAGCCCAUCGGCGUGCACCCGGUGAUGGUGAACUUGGCCUUCAUCGAGUCCAUCGACGCCCAUAAACGCACGUGCGCCACCAAUGUGGUGCCAAGACCUCGCCAUCAUGAUCACCACAGAAACCUCCUUCGUCAUUAGGGAGCCGACGAUGGGGCGGCGACACACCAUGCGCGCCAGGAGCUAGGUGGACAUCAUCAUUGUCGCCAACACGCUGAUAUUACACAUCGUCAACACUGAUGCACACGGCUGGCCCGGCGCCGAUGCUAGUGGGCAGCCGAGCGCUCGUAUUCAUCUCCAGUGCAGUACAACGCCCACCCAUUGCGAGCGCGGUACAAAUAGCUGAACUCAAGCGGACGUGUGCAUCACCGUACGAGGUCCCUGUGCCGAUGUCCGGAGAUCGCUUCAUCAUGGACGCCGAGGAUUCGGCUCCGUCCCACCCGCUGCAAGCUACAUGUCCAUACGCGCCGUCGCCUUCAACGAAGCUCCCGUCAAGGACUACACCGACCCCAGCUCGAACCCAACAAGUCAAGAUGACCAUCAGCCAAUGCACAUCUUUAUCAACCCGUACCACACACGGACGCCAACUACAUCGACACAAAGAUCGUCUUCAUCGACUCCGUGACAAGGCGGCGAGAGCGCCAACUACAUCGGCACGCUACCCUUCUUCUAGCCGAGUCACACGACCACGACAUAUCAAGCCUCAUGGGCCCAUGCACACCUCCGGCAUUACAAGAUCUACAUCGCCAAGUUCAUACAUCAUCGUCAUCAAGCCACGUUGCCACGCAACGACGUUUAAGUCUACUCCGACAACCACAUCAACCCUCUUCCCCAACAUCGGCCUAGCACCGACGAGGCGAAGCCACUCCACCAACAUGUCUUUUCUCCGAUGAAGCAAGCCAUUUCUUGCCGGGCACCGACGAGGCGAAGGCAAGACAUCAAGUCCGACACCGACGAGGCGGACACCACCAGGCCUGGCACCGACGAGGCGAAGGCCGCCCAUCUGUCUGAGCUGACGAGGCCAGACAUCUUCAUCAUCGGACAUCGACAAGCCGGAGAGUAUGGCUAAACAUCGCCGGGGAGACGGACGUACCGUCUCGCUUUCCACUUCACCAUCCCAUCAUCAUCGUCUACGCCAAGUGCAUGGAGAAGACGAGACUUGAAGACGACGACCAUUGCAGCAGCUUAAUCGGAGGUGGUCCGCGGCGUUGACUCGCGGACGUAAUUAAUCGGGAGCCUUCCGAGGCCCCGUGAACCAGAACACACAAUCGCCCAAGUCAUAUCGGCCGCGCUAGCAGGCCACGGAGCGCAUAUGUAAAGGGAUCUUGUAAUUUCGUUUCUCCAUUGAGAGAUUAAUAAAAAUACAUGUUUCCCUAUA